GACGAACGCUGGCGGCGUGCUUAACACAUGCAAGUCGAACGGAAAGGCCCUGCUUUUGUGGGGUGCUCGAGUGGCGAACGGGUGAGUAACACGUGAGUAACCUGCCCUUGACUUUGGGAUAACUUCAGGAAACUGGGGCUAAUACCGGAUAGGAUCUCCUGCUGCAUGGUGGGGGUUGGAAAGUUUCGGCUGUUGUGGAUGGACUCGCGGCUUAUCAGCUGGUUGGUGAGGUAGUGGCUUACCAAGGCUUUGACGGGUAGCCGGCAUGAGAGGGUGAACGGCCACAUUGCGCCUGCGAUACGGCCCAGACUCCUACGGGAGGCAGCAGUGGGGAAUAUUGCACAAUGGGCGGAAGCCUGAUGCAGCAACGCCGCGUGCGGGAUGCCGGCUUUCGGGUUGUAAACCGAUUUCGCCUGUGACGAAGCGUGCGUGACGGUAAUGGGUAAAAAAGCACCGGCUAACUACGUG
rnacentral:rRNA from 1 species